AGUGAACGCUGGCGGCGUGCUUAACACAUGCAAGUCGAACGGCAGCACAGAAGAGCUUGCUCUUUGGGUGGCGAGUGGCGGACGGGUGAGUAAUGUCUGGGAAACUGCCCGAUGGAGGGGGAUAACUACUGGAAACGGUAGCUAAUACCGCAUAACGUCGCGAGACCAAAGUGGGGGACCUUCGGGCCUCACACCAUCGGAUGUGCCCAGAUGGGAUUAGCUAGUAGGUGGGGUAAUGGCUCACCUAGGCGACGAUCCCUAGCUGGUCUGAGACGAUGACCAGCCACACUGGAACUGAGACACGGUCCAGACUCCUACGGGAGGCAGCAGUGGGGAAUAUUGCACAAUGGGCGCAAGCCUGAUGCGGCCAUGCCGCGUGUAUGAAGAAGGCCUUCGGGUUGUAAAGUACUUUCAGCGGGGAGGAAGGCGGUGAGGUUAAUAACCUCGCCGAUUGACGUUACCCGCAGAAGAAGCACCGGCUAACUCCGUGCCAGCAGCCGCCGUAA
rnacentral:rRNA from 1 species